AGGUCAAGCAAUAAGGGCACAGGGCGGAUGCCUUGGCACUAAGAGCCGAUGAAAGACGUGAUAAGCUGCGAAAAGCUUCGGGGAGGAGCAAAUAUCCCGUGAUCCGGAGAUGUCUGAAUGGGGAAACCCGCAUGAGCAGACCUCAUGCAUCCAUACGCCAAUCCAUAACGUAUGGAAGGGAACCCGGGGAACUGAAACAUCUAAGUACCCGGAGGAAAAGAAAGAAACAUCGAUUCCGUAAGUAGCGGCGAGCGAACGCGGAGGAGCCUAAACCGGUGUGCGUGCAUGCCGGGGUCAUGGACUGCAUUUAAGAUUCAGCGAAGUUAACAGAACGGUUUUGGGAAAGCCGGCCGGAGAGGGUGAAAGCCCCGUACGUGAAAGCAGAGCUGACUGAGCAGGAUCCGGAGUACCACGAGACACGAGGAACCUUGUGGGAAGUAAGGGGGACCACCCCCUAAGGCUAAAUACUACUUAGUGACCGAUAGCGCAUAGUACUGUGAAGGAAAGGUGAAAAGGACCCCGGGAGGGGAGUGAAAGAGAACCUGAAACCCUGUGUCUACAAGCUGUGGAAGUACUUUAUAUGUACGACCGCGUACUUUUUGUAGAACGGUCCGGCGAGUUACGCUUACUGGCAAGGUUAAGCACUUCAGGUGUGGAGCCGUAGGGAAACCAAGUCUUAAUAGGGCCAGAGUCAGUAGGAGUAGACCCGAAACCGGGUGAUCUAUCCAUGUCCAGGUUGAAGCUGCCGUAAGAGGUAGUGGAGGACCGAACCCACAUCCGUUGAAAAGGGUGGGGAUGAGGUGUGGAUAGGGGAGAAAUUCCAAUCGAACCCGGAGAUAGCUGGUUCUCCUCGAAAUAGCUUUAGGGCUAGCCUCGGUGUGAGUCUUGCGGAGGUAGAGCACUGAAUUUCCUAGGGGGCGUCAAAGCCUACCGAAGAAUAUCAAACUCCGAAUGCCGUGUAGAUAUCACCGGGAGUCAGACUGCACGAGAUAAGUUGGGCGGUCAAAAGGGAAAGAGCCCAGACCUACAGUUAAGGUCCCAAAGUGCGCGUUAAGUGGAAAAGGAUGUGGGAUUUCGAAGACAACCAGGAUGUUGGCUCAGAAGCAGCCAUACAUUCAAAGAGUGCGUAAUAGCUCACUGGUCGAGAGGUCCUGCGCCGAAAAUGUCCGGGGCUGAAACGCGCCACCGAAACUAAGGAAUCUGAAAAGAUUGGUAGAGGAGCAUUGCAUGCGGGAAGAAGCAGUACCGGAAGGAGCUGUGGACUGCAUGGAAGAGAGAAUGCCGGAAUGAGUAGCGAGAUAGAGGUGGGAAUCCUCUAGGCCGAAUAUCCAAGGUUUCCAGGGUAAAGCUGAUCUGCCCUGGGUGAGUCGGGACCUAAGGUGAGGGCGAGAGCCGUAGCCGAUGGACAACAGGUUGAUAUUCCUGUACUGCAGUAU
rnacentral:rRNA from 1 species